CAGAAACCCAACACAUGUAUAUCUGAUGGACUGACUGGAGUUCAAAAAAAUAGAUGAAGGAAGAUUUGCUGUUAUCUCAGCAAGAAGAUAAAAGAAACCUAACACCGAAAAUGUGAUGACCUGGCUGAAGUUCAAAAGAUGAAAAUGUGAUGACCGGGCUGGAGUUCAAAAGACAGGUGAAGGAAGAUUUGCAAUUAUUUCAGCAAGAAGAUAAAAGAUUUGGAGACUGUGAAGUUUAAGAUUCGACAACCAGCAUGGUCGGUGAGGGUCCUCUUCGUAGUUUGCGGAUGGCCUUCUGCUUAUAUCGUCACAUAGUGGAGGGGAAGAAAGAGAGGAAGAGCCAGAGAGCCAGAGAGAGGGUCCCCCCUGUCUCUUGUUAGAAGGAGACUAAUUCUAUUGUGAGGGCUCCACCCUCAUGACCUAAUUACCUCCCAAACGCCCCCCCAUCUCCAAAACCAUCACAUUAAGAAUUAGAGUUUCAAAAUGUGAAUUUUGAGAAGAGAUGCCCGUUCAGCCUAUAACACGUUGGAAAGUGGAACUGUAGGGGAGGAACUCUAUCUGGCAUCGGAGCCAUGGAGGAAACUCAGUAGCUGCUGCAGGUGCUGCUUAAGACAGAAGGAGACAGUGAUAUCAACUCUCCACCUUCCACCAGGGCUUCCCACUGGCCCGAGCUACCCGGAAACACAUAGGCAAUCCUGGGAAAGGCAUCCUUUUUCAUGGAGGGGUUUGUUAGAGAAGGGAGAAGGGAAAAGGAAGGAGCCUGAGGUAUAGAGCUGAUGAAGCCCAGAGGAAGACUGGAAAGAGGCCAUUUUCAGUUUGAAAUCUCUAUAUUUAACAUAAACAAUCUUCAAAUUUUAGAUAAGAACAUUGUUGCAAUAAUGUGACUGGCCUGAGUACAACUGAGGUGAGAUUAAAACAUGAAAUUCUUGUUCAUACAUGACUUCAGAAAUCAGUCUUUCUAGUCUCAUUUUAUUUCAAACUAACAGUCCUGUAAGAAACAAAAUUAUUUUCUAAGAAGUAAUUAAAAUCAUGCAGUUGAUUAAAUAAAAGGAGACUAGAAAAUAAGCACAAUUUUACUAUAGUGAGCUUUUGAAUUUGGUCCAAAAAUGUAUCCAUGGGGAAAACACAUUUGCUAUAAAUUAAUCCCCAAUGUGCUUUAAACGAAAAUUAUUUCCAAACAAAUCCAGUUUAUAAAAGGUCAUUGAACUUUCCCUUUGAUAAAAUACUCAUUUCCUUAAACACUGCUGCUAAGUGUUCAUGGAAAAAAAAACUGAACAUGGAAUCUGGAAUAGCAUCUAAUUGAAACAGAGGCCAAGUGCCAAGGCUGUAUAUCCCUCACUGCCAUUAAUUGCUUAUGCAAACUUUGGUAAAUUAAUUACCAAAGGAUGUCUCAGCUCUGACUUGUAGUACUUAAGAAUAAAUAUUCCUGUCCCAUUAAUCACACAGUUGUAUUAAGGUUCAAAAUAAUUUGAUGUUUAUAAAGUACAACAUGUAAAAAGUUAAUAAAGUACAACAUUGUAAAAUUAAAAAUGACUAAGUCAUAAAAUAGCGACAAUCAUUCAAAAUGGGAAUGUAAAUUAGUUCAUCCCCUAUGGUAGACAGUAUGGAUAUUUCUCAAAGAACUAACAAUAGAAUUACCAUUUCAUCCAGCAGUCCCACUACUGGGUAUCUGCCAAGGGAAAAGAAAUUGUUUUAUCAAAAAGACACCAUAUUCCUAUGUUUAUCACAGCAUUAUUCACAAUAGAAAAGUCAUAGAAUCAACCUAAGCAUCCAUCAGUGGUGGAAUGGAUAAAAGAAAUGUGGUACAUAGGCACCAUGGUAUACUAAGCAGCCAUAAUAAAGAAUUAAAUCAUGUCCUUCGCAGCAACAUGGAUACAGCUAGAGGCCAUUAUCCUAAAUGAACUAACUCAGAAACAAAAAAUAAAAUAUUUCAUGUCCUCAUUUAUAAGUGGGAGCUAAACAAUGGGUACACAUUAACAUAAAAAUGAAAACAAUAGAUAGUGGGGACUUCAAAAGUAGGGAUAGCAGAACAGGGUGAGGAUGAAAAAUUUGCCUAUUAAGUACAGUAUUAUGUUAAUUAUUUGCGUGAUGGGGUCACUAGAAGCCUAAACCCAGCACUACACAAUAUAUCCAUGUAACAAAUCUGCACAUGUACUCCCUGAAUCUGUAAUUUUAAUAAUAAGAAGAACUCUUUAACAAACUUCUAAAAUAAUGUAGUGUACAUUCACUGUUUAUUGCAGAAGGAGCUUUCAGGAGAAUUGCUUAUAUAAAUUAAUUGAACUGAAAAAAAAACUUCAGUAAAGUGAUUCUCUAGAAUAUUGUAGACAUUAAAAUUUGCUUUCAAAAAUCCCAGAACUUUGGAACUAACCAAAUUUAUCCUAUUUGCCAGUUAAGUGUUGAAAAUAUUAACUGUAUAAUAAUAUAACAAUUAUUAUUUUUAUUAUUAUUUGUUUAUUAAUUUUGUUUGUUGUGGCUUUUUUAAAGUCAGGCACAAUUAUUUUUUGAAAUAUCAUCAAUGUUAUUAUCAACCCUUGAGACUGAGGGAAAUGAAAACAAUGAACUAGUUAAAUUGAAGAGAUCCUUCCGAUAUUGAAUAAUUAUUAAAUACAUAGAAAUUGCAUAGGGAAUAAAAACAGUUCUGUAUCACUUGACAAUAUUAUCUUAUUUUAGUCUAAGACAAUAACAAAAAGAAAAGAUUUCCUAACAGAUAAAUAAACUAAUAUAUUAAUAAUAUAUAAAGGAAACAAAGAUUAACUAGGCACUCCUGCUAAACACUAUAGAGGCAAUACAUUAACAGAAGGGUCAAGGAACACCAAGAGCCCAAAUUCCAACCAGUGAUGUUCAUAGAUGGGCUUGUAAGUCCCAUGCCAAGACUCCAGCAAUAAAUACAUUUCCAUUUAUUAAACCAUAUUAUGUAAACAUCAACAUUACUUAAAUAAUAUAAUCUGAUCCCUCUUAGUAUAUAUUUACCCUUCUUUUUCUGACAUCUAAAGUAGUUGGCAUUUCCCAUUAUAUUCUAUCUUAUUUUAUAGCAUUAUUCUUCAAAUAUUUGAUGACAGAACUGUUUUGUGUGUGGGUUUUCUUAUGUUUUGCUUUAUUCCAAAUUAUCAUCUUAAGCAAGAUGUUCUUUGAAAAACAUUUCGGGAAUACGUUUUUUAAACCAUUGGUAUACUUGUCUGUGGGCUGCUUUGCAAAUACACUCAUUGAAAAAAAUGUGACAUGCCUUACUCAUUGGUGUAUGUAUAAUGUUGUGCCUAGCACAGUGCGUUGUACACAAAAGAUAAUAGUUACUUAAAAAUAUGAGUCAAGGAAUUCUGCUCCUUAUUUGGAGAAUUUGGUAGACACAGUAUUUUGAGAUAUGACAAUUUAAUGUCUAAAAAGACUAAGAACUUCAAAAAACUACCAUGUAAGAAUGAAAAGCAUAAUACAAAGAAUAUUAGUUUAAACUUAAAGGACUUAAAAACUAUAAGAUUUUUUAAAAUGUAGUUUAA
rnacentral:lncRNA from 1 species